UCUGUACGUGCGCGUUCUGUGUGUGUUUGUGUGUGCAUUGUAUAUAUGGCUCUUUUGAAUAAAAACGCAUGCAGACCAGCGUAGCGAAAUGUCUCUUUCAUCGCGAUGAUAUAUUUAAGCGAAAAGCGGCCGGAUAUGUUGAGGUGGUUCAAAGCAGCGGUCACAGCGUGUCUUUGUCAUUUGGGGCGGUGAGUGAUUGUAGGAGGGAGGGAAGGUUGCCACCUCUUUCCUUGAGGAGUCCAGAGACACAGAGGGGCAGAGCCACGCCGUAUGGAGUCGGCGCUAGGGAGGGAGGGACUGCUCCCUUCUCCGGAGGGCUGCAGGGCUGCUCCUCGGAGCCUCCUCCGGCCCUGGCACCGGCCCCGGCCGCUCUGCCUCGCCAGAACACGAAAACCCUCCCCCGCCGGUGCUGGAGACACUCGGCUUUCUAUCUGCAGCAUCAGCGAGAAAGCCCAGCUCGGCGCAGGCUCAGUGCUCACCGCCGCAGUCCCGGACGGAGGAGGGGGGCUCGGGAGCGCAGCAUCUUCCCAGCGGGUUAAGUAGGAUUAGUACCAAAUCCCUAUUAUAUUUGCCAAGCAACUUGCAUUUGUCAAAAUUCCCCCUCGCUGUUCUGGAGCUCCGCGAGGAGGAAAUUUUGCUCACAGUGUAAGAUCCAGACAUGCCAGUACGUAGGAAUACCAGCAUACUGCAUUACACUGGCUUCCUGCGCUGGAAAUACAACUGCGAACCGCAGGUCCCGCUGUUCCCGUCCCUUUGUGUUUUUAAACCCAGCCAGGAAAUUUAAUGUAUUCGCCAGGGAAGGGGCGGGAUGAGAGCGUUUUUAACCUCCCCGCCAUAAACUUUAAUCGGAUUCCAGGCUGUUGCACGGCAUGGACGCUCGCCUUCUUGCCUGCGUCUCCUUCCCCGUUGUUUCUACUGCGGUCUCCUUGCGAGUGCCUCUUUCAAGCGAAUGAGUGAUUUCUUUCUCUUGCCAUGUGCAAUUGCUCCCCCUUCCUUUCCUACCCUCGCUGGCCUCUCUUACACACACUAUGCCUUUCACACGCUGUCUGCCCCCCUCGGUCCCCCCCUCCUUUCCUUCUCUUUUGCAGUGUCUUCACAUGCAAUCUCUCUCUGAAUGUGCAAUGUCUUUCCUGCUCGGGAGUGCUGCGUCCUUCACAGUGGAUUGGUUCCUCUCUCGGAGCAGAGGAGAUCAUAGAAGAUCUGGCAUGUCUUCAUGAUUGUGCUGUGUCAGCUGCCGUUGAGCAGAAGAUAAAAUACUCAAGCAAGAUGGCAACUCUGAGAAGUUCUGAAGAAGAACCUUUGAUAUUAUAAUUCAAGCACUGUUAUUGAUAACUGAAUGCUGUGCAGCUCUAUUCCUUUCUAAGAAUAGUGUGGCCAGCAGACCAGGGAAGUGAUUGUCGCCCUGUGCUUGUCACCAGUGAGGCCAGACUUCAGUUCACAAUUUUCCAGUAUGCUUCUUAUGGUGAAAGAAACUAAUUUCAAAGGAAGGAAGAAAGGAAGAAGAAAUGUCUCUUUCAAGCAUUGCUGGAAGGAGUGGCUUAAUGUCCUAAAGAUAAUGGAAAUGUCUGAAUUUGCUGAGCCAAUGAUUUAAACUGAGGUACUUUUGUGUUUCCUUGUAUUCAAGACAUAUACUGCACUUUGCAAUCAAGAGAAUAAAGGAAAAUCAAAGAAGUGCCCACCUUAGUGUUGUUAAAAAAUGCUGCACAUAUCAUCCACUGCAUUUCUGACUGACAGUUCUUGAAACUAAGAUUGACAACAUGUAGGAUGUAAUGAGUGGGAAGACGACUGGAGUGUUCAGCUUAUAAAAGAGAGGUCUGCCUUCACAAUAGCACUAGAAGUUGUUACAGUCAUCUGUUACUGCAUUUGAAGAAGCAUAUGAUAAACAGUGUCUAAAAAAUCCCAAAAUGAUGUAAAUGCCUACUUUUUAAAAUUAUGGAUUAUAUUUAUGGAUCAGCACAUUCACUAUAUUGUUUUCUCAGGGCAGUGCUGCACUAAUGAUAUUUUUCUUAAGAUGUUAAUAGACAAAGAACAGGGGGAAGACAGAUAGUAAUUACCAGUGAAUGGACAGUAACUUGACACUAUGCCCUCAGUACUAUGUAAAAAACAGUAAAGGAAUGAGAGUUUCUGAGGUCAAGUGAAAAGCUCGUUUCCACAUUGAUUGGAGAUAGCCAGUCUUCUACAGCUUUACCUGAUCCACACUACAUAGUGCUAAAUUUUGUCUUUUAGCCAAACCUUGAACACCCUGAGAGGUCAUCUUUAAUUUACACGUCAUGUGGCAGGUGGAUUUCCCCCAUCGUCACCCAUAUUAAAAUGCCAGAACUAAUGUGAAAACCAUCUUACAGUUCCCUAGAGUACCAAAUUAUAUGAAGAAACUCAGAGGAUCCUGUUAUUGGAAGUUUUGAGGUGUGAUGUGGAUUUGUGAUGAGCAACUGUGUGAUAAGUCUGCAAGGACCAUAUUUGAGGACUGUGUAAAAUACAUGGAGGGAAAACUGGUGGGAAUCUGAUCAAGUUUUAUCUGCAUACACUUUUGAGAUUUGCUUAUGAAGAAAACUGUCUCCCCUGUGCAGGUCUUGUCUUAAAAAGAGGUAUUUGGAGCAAUCUAAAGCAUAACUAGGGAAAGAAUUAUCAAAUAAACAGGUGUAGAUGUACCAAAGUCUAGUGCUUAAACAGCAUUUCUCUUUCAUUUGUUAGGACAGAUGGAACUGUAGAUACCAGGAGUCAAGAGAGGCUUCUUUGCCCAUGGUGCAUGGAGUAAAUUAAUACUGACUCACAGGCUACCAGUGAUAAUCCACAAGCCUAAAAGAAACAAGUCCUAUUAUGACUCAAAGCCACGGAGUUCUGUGUUCUCACACUUCUAUCCCACUCCCUUUUUCAGGUAGAGGAAUAUGCCAGCAUGUAUGAGUCCUGUAAUGAGAGUGGAUUACUUUUCAGGACUUCUAUGGAUUGGAGAUUUCUAUACCAUUUAUAGUCAGUUUUGUAGUUCCACAUGCAAAGAAGGUAAACCAAUGGCUCUAGAGAAGCUCCUUGCUUCCAUACUUGCAAGCAGUUACAUAGACAGCAAAUGUAGGCAGUAUGAAUGCUGAACAGCCUCAUGAUUCCUGGUGCAGGCACAAAGCCAGGAUCACAAUCUGGCUCUUCAAGACUUGACACAUUCUCAGAACACUGUAAUACUGUAUUGUUAUUUAUAGAAUUUUGGACCUGUUUGAACUUUCCUACUUUUAUAUCAGAGGAUGAAACCUGAAGAUAUCUUCUAUAAUCUAUAAGACAUGGUAUAUCUUUCUGCAAACUCUGAUAAUAAUUAGAGAGUAAAAAUUGCUCUAGACCUUUCAGAUUCCUGUGCCACAGUAAUGUAAUUUUAUCCUAUGUAUUUUGCUUGUUCUCAGCAAUAAAAGAAACUCAUUUGAUUAUAAUCUCAGGAUUUCUUUUCUAUUUAUUUUUAUUAUACAGAGCCACUAUAUCCCUAAAUUUAGAUAUAACACAGCAAAUGGGGUAAAAUCAGAGAGGGUAUAGUUUAAAAAAUGCUGGAAUAGUAUCUGUGCUUAUUUUGGUGUGAAAUUGGUUUUUGGGAAUUAAAGGAUUAAUUUCCCAUACAUAAUAGGAAUUUAAUUGGAACAAUUGUCCUGACACUUUUUAGAAUCUUAAAACAUGGUUUACUCCAAGAUGUGGCAGCGAUUAUCACACCUUACGCAAGACUGGACUAUGAUGUCUUUGUGUUACAUGGGACAAAUUUUGCCUGAAAAUAUUUGUUUUUAAAAUAUGGUGAAUUAGCCAGUUGAAAAGAUUCUGAAGAAAACUUCCAUGCAUGUGGAUCCUGGAAAAGUUUGUAGGCCGUGUGUACCUGUUUCUACCUGUCAGUAAGAAUCAAAUAUAUUUAUAAAACAAGCUCGCUCAGUUCAUUACUGAAAUAAACA